GACGAACGCUGGCGGCGUGCUUAACACAUACAAGUCGAACGGAAAGGCCCUGCUUGCCGGGUGCUCGAGUGGCGAACGGGUGAGUAACACGUGGGUGAUCUGCCCCUUACUUUGGGAUAAGCCUGGGAAACUGGGUCUAAUACUGGAUAGGACCAUGCUGUAGGCGGUGUGGUGGAAAGAUUAGUUUCGGUAAGGGAUGAGCUCGCGGCCUAUCAGCUUGUUGGUGGGGUAAUGGCCUACCAAGGCGUCGACGGGUAGCCGGCCUGAGAGGGUGGACGGCCACAUUGGGACUGAGAUACGGCCCAGACUCCUACGGGAGGCAGCAGUGGGGAAUAUUGCACAAUGGGCGCAAGCCUGAUGCAGCGACGCCGCGUGGGGGAUGACGGCCUUCGGGUUGUAAACUCCUUUCAGCCAUGACGAAGCCCUUGUGGUGACGGUAGUGGUAGAAGAAGCACCGGCUAACUACGUG
rnacentral:rRNA from 1 species